UUAUAAACUACAUUGUAGUUUUAAAUACAAUUGUCAACUCAGCACUUACACAGACAAUCUGUGGUAAUUUAAAGGAUGUUUUUACUAGUGGGAUUGGUUGGGCAAUAUUCGGAGGACUUCCAUAUGAUUUGUUCAAUGUUCUUGGUCAAUCACUUGGCUUCUUUGGUUCUUGUUUGUGUGCCUAUUGUAAAAUCCAAGGAAUAUGAAGAUGACAUAUUCAUUUAGAAACAUCAAAACUAAAAGAAGGUAGAAUGGUGCAAGAUUAUACCAUGCCCCUUCAGAUUUUGCUCUAAUAGAUUAGAGGAUCAGGAUCGUUUUCAGUUUCGAAGAAACUUACAUACGAUCUUAGCCAUUAAAAAUAUUGUAUUUU